rnacentral:rRNA from 1 species
UGAAUACGAGACGCUAAGGCGUCGAAGUAGUGUAUGUCAUACUUCCAAGAAAAGCUUGCACUGUCAUAGAUAAAAAACGCCUGUACCAUAACCGACACAGGUGGGUAGGUAGAGUAUACUAAGGGGCGCGAGAUAACUCUCUCUAAGGAACUCGGCAAAAUAACUCCGUAACUUCGGGAGAAGGAGUGCCUUAUUCGUAAGGUUGCAAUAACAAGAUCCAAGCAACUGUUUAUCAAAAACACAGGUCUCCGCUAAGUCGUAAGACGAUGUAUGGGGGCUGACGCCUGCCCAGUGCCAGAAGGUUAAAGAAGUUGGUUAGCAAUUGCGAAGCUGAUAACUGAAGCCCUGGUGAACGGCGGCCGUAACAAUAACGGUCCUAAGGUAGCGAAAUUCCUUGUCGGGUAAGUUCCGACCCGCACGAAAGGCGUAAUGAUUUGGAUACUGUCUCGGAGAGGGGCUCGGUGAAAUAGACUUGUCUGUGAAGAUGCGGACUACCUGCACCAGGACAGAAAGACCCUAUGAAGCUUUACUGUAACUUGAAAUUGAAAUUGGACUUUAUUCGCGCAGUAUAGGUGGGAGGCGUUGAUUAUAAUCUUGUGGGAUUAUUGGAGCCAUCAGUGAGAUACCACUCUUGUAAUGUUAGAUUUCUAACUUUGAAUCAUUAUCUGGUCAAAGAACAGUUUCAGGCGGGCAGUUUGACUGGGGCGGUCGCCUCCUAAACGGUAACGGAGGCGUACAAAGGUUUCCUCUGAACGGUUAGAAAUCGUAUCUAGAGUGUAAAGGCAUAAGGAAGCUUGACUGUGAGACCUACAAGUCGAGCAGGGACGAAAGUCGGUCUUAGUGAUCUGACGGUACUGAGUGGAAAGGCCGUCACUCAACGGAUAAAAGUUACUCUAAGGAUAACAGGCUGAUCUCCCCCAAGAGUUCACAUCGACGGGGAGGUUUGGCACCUCGAUGUCGGCUCAUCGCAUCCUGGGGCGGUAGUACGUCCCAAGGGUUGGGCUGUUCGCCCAUGAAAGCGGUACGCGAGCUGGGUUCAGAACGUCGUGAGACAGUUCGGUCCAUAUCCGGUGUAGGCGUUAGAAUAUUGAGAGGAGCCUUCUUUAGUACGAGAGGACCGAGAAGGACAUACCUCUGGUGUACCAGUUAUCAUGCCAACGGUAAACGCUGGGUAGCUAUGUAUGGAGUGGAUAACCGCUGAAAGCAUCUAAGUGGGAAGCCCACCUCAAGAUAAGUAUUCUCAUC